AAAACAUAGCCCUAGAAAAUACCUAAGGUGUGACCUGCCCAGUGGUUUUUAAUUAUCAAUUUAAAAAAUUGAAAAUAAAACUAAAAGGACGCGGUAACCUUGACCGUGAUAAUGUAGCAUAAUCACUCGCCAUUUAAUUAAUGGAUAGUAUGAAUGGUUGAACGAAUAUUCCACUGUCUUAGAAGGAAUUAAAAGAAAUUGAAAUAAUAGUUAAGAUGCUAUUUUAAACUGUAAGACGAAAAGACCCUAUAGAGCUUAACUAUAAUUUUCAUUUAAUCUAAAAGAAAAUUGUUUUUUUAAUUAUGAAAAUUGGUAGUUUAGUUGGGGCGACUGUCUUCUAUAUUAAACGAAGACAAGCAAUAAUAAUAAAAGAUUUAUUGUAUAAUUAAAUGAUUUAACAAUUACUAUAGUAGGCUAUAUUGACCCGUUUGUACUAUAAAAUAAGAAAAACGAUCAAUUAAUAAAAGCUACCUUAGGGAUAACAGGAUAAUUUUAUUCUAGAGUCCAUAUCGAAAAUGAAGUUUGUCACCUCUAUGUUGAAUUAAGAUAUCCCGGUAAUGCAGUAGUUACCAAAGGUAGGUCUGUUCGACCUUUAAAAUCUUACAUGAUUUGAGUUCAUUCC
rnacentral:rRNA from 1 species